rnacentral:lncRNA from 1 species
AGUUCCACUUCCUAUCUCCUGCUGGACGGACGUAGAGCGUCCACGCCCGCCCAGCACUGCCGGCUGCCAGGACUACAAGCGGCACGCCAACGUCUAAGUCCCGCCCGGGAGGGCAGCAGCUCUGCCCUCCAGACUCUGGAGGCCUGGGCGCGGCGCACACCACCCCCAACCUAGCACCCUGAUUCCUACCUACUCACUUUCCUCUCGGGGAAACGUGACUUGUCAGUGUCAUUUGGGAACUGUCACCUGCAGAAAAGCUAGGGAUACGCCUAUCCUUUCAGGAACACGAAAGAAGUAAUAGGGUUAAAGGAAAAGACCAGAGCUAGUUUGGCGCACCCUCGAAGUUUUUCAAACUUUGCAUCUUCCCGUGCCCCGGGCGCCGCAGCGCGCCUAGGUUUUCGCAGCUGGUUUCUGUCGGUGGGUUGUUAAUAGGCUGGGACGCCAGAUCUGAGGUUGCGGGGAUGAGCACCAUGGCCUGGAAAAGGCGGUUCUCAGUGCAGAAAGAAGACGGACCUGGUUGGGUGGGUGGGAGGAAGGCGUGAGUCUGAAAGGGUUGCAGAUGCCUGCUCCCUGGCAUCCUCACGUGCGAUGCCAGGUGGAGGCUCCCUUCCCCCUCUUUCCCGGUCCCGCUCAAUUUCCUAGCCACUUGUCCACCAAGAAGAACUUUUCCUGGGUCAAGAAUAUUUCCAAGCGAUUGUGUCCCGGUCAUAUGAGAUGUGUAGAUUGCACGCGCAUUUCUAGCCUUUCCCCUCAGGAGCUAGCCCAGAUCUCCUCGGUUUCCUCCAGAAAUCCACUCUCUUCUGCUCAAAAAUAAAUCCGCUAAUGCAUUCCUUACCACCAGGGUUCCAUUUACUGAGAAUUCUUACAUUUCGAUAGCUCCCAAAAUUCACUCACCGUGGGCACUUGGUUACAAUUUUGCACCCCUGAAAAUAAAAUAGAAAACUCGCCUCUAGUAAGCAUGCGAGAGCGAGGGCAGGGCUUUGAAGCUGCUACUUGCUUGGCGGGCGACAGGGUCCGCUGGGGGCAGAGUCGUUUACACACAAGUGAGUGGCGCUGUAAUGAGCAGGAGGAACAGUCAUGUCCCAUCUGCGACCUGUCGCAUCAGGAGAAUAUCUGUAGUCACCUAUUCUGCCCGGGGCCCCAAAUGCGCCACCAGCAGUGUCGCCCCGUUUUUUCAUUGUCUCAGGUGUCCAGAGGAUGAUGACCAGGUCUUUGAAGUUGUUAGUGGGAUUAAUGGGUACAGCAAACUGGGCUAGACAUCUGGUUUGAAUUAGGAAAAAGCAUUGAUUAAUCUUUGAGAGGUGUCCCCAAAGCAGAACCUUUCCCCUCCUCUUCCAGUCCCCUUGCUUAAGCCUCACUAUCUUCUUUUCUUUUAAGUCACACUGCAGAAUAGUGGCUUCGCAAUAACAUCCGUGUGAAAGAUCGAAUUGUUUUCUAUUGCUCAGAGGUGGGGUGGAGUGGGGGUUGAUCAGGAAUUCUGAGAUUUGUAAGCGCUGCUUUCUUUAACGGAAAUUGAGCUCUAUUUUGAGGGAAAUUAGUUUUGCAGACUUCGUUUAAAAAAAAAAAAAAACUAAAUCUUUUGUUCACCAGCUGCUCAGCUUUUCAGUCUGGGUCUGAGCUGAAACCUGCUGCAAGUCUGACGGUACCAAAUUACAUAUAUAUCUGUCAAAAUGAUGUAGGACCUAAAGUCUCUCUGUAAGUUGAUCCUUUUGACCCCAUGAUUAGGAGCUUCACAAUGUGGUACCACACCUGGAAACCUCCAGAACAAGAUCUCAAGGAAACACAGGAAAUUCCUGAAACAGCAAAACCCCCUAUGUGAAGACGUCUGUUAUUCCUUUGUGUAUCAGGAGCAUCACUGUUAAUUAACUGUUGAUACACUUAAAACAGCUUGGUUGGCAAUGUCCUUUUUGAAUAAAGAAGAGCCAGGUGUGUUUUUCAGGAUGAACUAGACAAUGCUGUCACAAGUUUACCUCUACAUCUUAUUGCCUUGGAAAAAUUUCCUGCAUAUCGUGGCACAAGAUGGUUGGCUCUCCAGGCAGCAGUUGGCGUUGUGAAUCAGUCAUCUCAGCAUGUGUCUCCAAGAUCCCACAGCAGGGGGAAAAAGAGGUGGAGGGUCACAUGCCUGGUGUUACAUACUUUGAGGCAGAGGUGGUAGGUGCCAUUUCUGCUCACAGCUCAUGGACCAGAACAAAGCCAUGCAUACCUGAGAGAGGACCAGAAAAUAUUCUGAAGCAGAUGGCUAUUUGGUCCGUGUUCUGACUAAAAGGAAGCCACACUCUGUCGAAAACAAGCUUUGUAAGAAAAUUUUGAAGUAUUUACUUAUAUCUAACCAUUCAUUCCACCUUUUCUCCCAAAUAACACUCUAAUAUCUUGAGACAUCUUGUCUAGGGCCAGAUUUCAUAAAUGCUUGUGAGGCAGGAGAAUAAGUUCCAGAGGCAGUUCACACUGCCUAAAGCCAAUUCACACUGACUUCCUAUAACUAAAUCUAAAGGAAAAUCUCAACUUUCCUCGCCCAAGUAACAAAAGAAUCAGAGGUUAUACUCCCUUUGCAACCUGCCCCUUUUCUGCCUGGCAGAUGAAAAAUGAAAAGUACCUAUGACUGGUCCCCUCCCACGACCAGCCAGACUGGUCACGGAUCACUACUUCAUUUACAUAGGGCGUAAACCGAGUAACCAAUGGGAAACCUCUAGAGGGUAUUUAAACCCCAGAAAAUUCUGUAACCGGUGGUCUCCAGCAGGUUGCUCAAUCUUGCUGCCACUCUGUGGGAUGUACUUUUGUUUCAAUAAAUCUGUGCUCUUCC